rnacentral:rRNA from 1 species
CCUUCGUGUGGCAUCAGUGGGGAAUAUUGCACAAUGGGGGACACCCUGAUGCAGCGACGCCGCGUGAGUGAAGACGUAUCUCGGUACGUAAAGCUCUAUCAGCAGGGAAGAAAAUGACGGUACCUGACUAAGAAGCCCCGGCUAACUACGUGCCAGCAGCCGCGGUAAUACGUAGGGGGCAAGCGUUAUCCGGAUUUACUGGGUGUAAAGGGAGCGUAGACGGCAGCACAAGUCUGGAGUGAAAUCCCGGGGCUUAACCCCGGAACUGCUUUGGAAACUGUGCGGAUGGAGUGCAGGAGGGGUAAGCGGAAUUCCUAGGGUAGCGGUGAAAUGCGUAGAUAUUAGGAGGAACACCGGGGGCGAAGGCGGCUUACUGGACUGUAACUGACGUUGAGGCUCGAAAGCGUGGGGAGCAAACAGGAUUAGAUACCCUUGUAGUC